CGAGCCCUACGGGGGGCAGCAGUGGGGAAUAUUGGGCAAUGGGCGCAAGCCUGACCCAGCAACGCCGCGUGAAGGAAGAAGGCUUUCGGGUUGUAAACUUCUUUUCUCAGGGACGAAGAAAGUGACGGUACCUGAGGAAUAAGCCACAGCUAACUACGUGCCAGCAGCCGCGGUAAUCCGUAGGUGGCAAGCGUUAUCCGGCUUUAUUGGGUGUACAGGGCGUGUAGGCGGGAGCGCACGUCAGAUGUGAAAACUCAGGGCUCAACCCUGAGCCUGCAUUUGCAACUGUGUUUCUU
rnacentral:rRNA from 1 species